rnacentral:lncRNA from 1 species
CCAUCAGUCGCCACCAAGUAAAUCAGCAGCAGCCAGUAGUAGAAGAAUUCGGUUUGACAUUUGAUUUAUGCUGGGUAAUUUGAGGUGUGCCUGUUGGUUAUGCCAUUUAUCUUUUUUCUGUCAAGCAAUUGUUUUCUAUUGCUGUGAUAGGCCUGAAUCAGUUUUUGUUUUUUGUAUACACCGAGAUGAAGCUGAAAGUUAUGACGAUCAGAUCAAAUACCAAAAGUUGUAACUCGGAUAUACCAUGAUAUUUUGAAUGGUGUGCUACCUUAAUAGCUUUCAGUGGUAUGUUGUCUGUUCAAUUCCGAAAAUAAGAUUUGUGGUAGGUUGACCUGUUGACAGCUUUCAAUGCUACUGUAUGUUGUUUGUUCAACUCCGGUCACCGAAGCUGAAUUUCCAUACAAAACCAAGAUUUGUUCUAGGUAAUUAUUUAGGCACCAAGCAACAAGUCCAUGGAUUUAAAAUAUGCACACAACGACAAACAUUUGUGUGGAUUUUCUGUAGGUGUCUCUGUUGACCUGCAUGUUUGCCUGAUGAGUGAAACAUAAGUGAUUCCAGUUCUACAUAUAUGUAACAUGCUAUUUUUGUUGGCUUAUAUUAACAUGGGAACCGGGUAAGUUUCUGCAAAUGUAUUCUUUUGGUUGUUUUGUGUCAUUUGUAUCCCGGUCAACAAUUUGAGAGAUUUACUUUGAGUAAAUUCAUGGUCUGAACUGGCUGUAGUAUUCAUUGAUCAAAUAAUUGUCGUCUAACGAGUGUUAUUGAUAAAGGAGGAGCUUGAGAAAAUGAAGGUAACUAUGAAGCUUCCUCUAUACAUGAUGAAGUGGGCGAAUGCGAAAUACAACAGGAGUUAGAGAAAGGCACACCUUGCACUUAUCGUUUCCUGAGUGCCAAAGAAAGGCUCACUGAAAGUAUCAAAUUUAUUUAAUGUGAGGUAGUGACAAGCUUUAGAGUUCAACCUUUUAGUGGAGUGCUUUUAUGCAUAUAAUCUUAAUAUAAUUCAUAAUUGUAAAUAAUGGGAAGCAAACAGUGGUACAUACAUUGUAUGCAUUGUGAAAGAAAAUAUUUUUAUAAUCGUGCUUGUGUUUAACAAGAAUUGGUAGAAGCAAUUAUGUUUUAAUUUUAAUGAAUAUAUA